rnacentral:antisense_RNA from 1 species
UGUGGGAGCGGGCUUGCUCGCGAUGCUGACGACGCGGUCUGUCUCUGAACGCGCGCUGAAUCCAUCGCGAGCAAGCCCGCUCCCACA